UGGCUCUAUUUGUCUUACUGUGACGCCAUCCACAUUGACAUAAUGUAACCAGAGGACCAUGACCAGAGCCAGCACCACGCUCUUUGGAUUUUCAGCCUCCCAAAUUGAGUCAAACAAACUUUUCUAUGUGUAUCCAGCCUCAAGGAACUCAGGCUGGAGUCGAAACCGAAGAGCCUGCAUGGUGGAGAGCUCAGCUUGAACUGUGUUCUAAGGAACAAAGAGCUUCGUGGGAUCAUUGUCCUUAACCAGCUGGAGACUUCCAAUUACAUGAUUGGGAGUGGAGGAACAAUUUACCAUAAAUUGUACCUUAGCAGGGUUCAUCUGGACCUCUUUAUUCUUGACAUUUAAAGGUCUUUCACCAUUGACUGAAGUAGGCCAGCCCCAUUUCUUCUGUUUCCUUCUGUUGUGAAGGAACCUGGAGGCAGGAGGCCUCCGUAGCUCUUCAAUACGCCUUUCUUUUAGGACACCUCCCCACCCCCCAACUGUAUUGGAAGGCCAUACCCCUGCUCAGAGAGAAGGAGGGACUUAGUGUGUGGAGCCUUCUCUUCUGGAGAACUGGAGCAGCUUCUGAACGACAAGAGAUAUAUAAAGUACCAGCGCCCCUCCCCCCAAUCUCACAGUUUUAAACUUUAGUUGCAAGAUCGUGCAUACAAUCACUUCACCGCCAUUUUAACUUAAACAAGAUUUGAAGGUGAAUCCCAAGCACACAGGGGAAAAGCAAAAGAGUUCUUGAAAGAGGAAGAGAGACCGCUUGGGAAGCUCAGACAGCGUCGGUCUGUGAGAAGUUUUUAUAAAGCCAGGCAGAGUCAUGGCCGUGGCUUCUAAGGGUCAAAGAGAUGGCUACUUCCAGCCUGCUAGGACCAUGCAGCAGGAGCUUCUGGGGUUCCAGCUAGCAGUCAGAACCCCAAAUGACAAAGGAGGAUGGCCAGGACAUCAGAACUUCAUUCUUUCUGUCCUGGCUGGAUGUUAUUGUCAUUGAUGUCAUUGUUAUUGGCAGAGAGGCUGAACCUCCAACUUACGUUGAGGUCUUGCAGGCACCCAGACCAGCUUCUGGUCUCAGGUUCCAGUCUUUGCUGACUCCCGUACUUAUCUUCUCAAAGGCACUGAUAACAAGAGCCUGGGGCUCUCCUGGCUCUACACAUUGCCUUUCUUUCCCUCUUAGGUAACUGUUAUCCAAUAACAUUGCUAUAAAGAAAAGAAGCAUCUUUAAUAACCGUCUAACCCUCUCUUCAAGCCAUGCAAUGGAUCCUGCCACUUGGUCAUCUCUGCAGACUCAGUAGGAAUGAAAUCAAGCUCGACGUUUCUACACAACUUCUGUGCUCCCCACUUUUUCCAGGACCUGCACUGUAUUUUUCCGAGUGAGGUCAGAUCCAGGCUAAGAUUGUCAUGACUGAUGAUGUCCUUUCCUGUUCAAAGACCCCUCAAAGUCAAUACAGAGCUCCAGAGUACGACUAGAAAUCCAGAGUUUCCAGCCCUGUUCCAAGCCUCCCCCAUUUCUCUACAGAGACAAGGGUGGCUGCUCCUCACAUCCCUACACAGUCCCCACAAGCAACGUGGCAGACGCAGGAAGGGAGUCUGCUAAACCAGGCCCCGCUCUAACAAGUUACUGACCUCCCAGAACCACGGGACACAGCAGACAGGCUUGUGUGCCCAUGGCAUCUGAGACCUGCAUCUUCAGGCCUGAGGAUGCACAGGCCCACAAAGUGAGUGAGGAGAGAGACACAGAGGAUGCUGAACUCUGACUGGAACCUGGCUCCUGACUCCCAUCUCGGAGGUUUCUACUUAAAGAUGCUUGUAUUUUGGGGUGAACGUGGGUGCCACACGGGCAGAAGUUGCUCAGUCACAGACAGGAGCACCCACAGUUACAAAGGGUGCUGUGGUAUGUUCUGUAUGUCAAAUGUGUUGCUCUGAUUGGUUAAUAAAUAAAACAUUGAUUGGCCAGUAGCCAGGCAGGAAGUAUAGGUGUGACAAGCAGAGAAGAGAAUUCUGGGAAGUGGAAGGCUGAGGCGGAGAGACGCUGCCAGCCACCGCCAUGAGAAGAUGUUAAGAUACCAGUAGCCACGAGCCACAUGGCAACUUAUAGAUUAAUAGAAAUGGGUUGAUUUCAGAUAUAAAAACAGUUAGCAAGAAGCCUGCCACGGCCAUACAGUUUAUAAGAAA